AUUGAACGCUGGCGGCAUGCUUUACACAUGCAAGUCGAACGCCCUAGCAAUAGGGAGUGGCAGACGGGUGAGUAACGCGUGGGAAUAUCCCCCUCAGUACGGAAUAGCCCAGGGAAACUUGGAGUAAUACCGUAUACGUCCGUGAGGAGAAAGAUUUAUCGCUGAGGGAUUAGCCCGCGUAGGAUUAGCUAGUUGGUGAGGUAACGGCUCACCAAGGCGACGAUCCUUAGCUGGUCUGAGAGGACGAUCAGCCACACUGGGACUGAGACACGGCCCAGACUCCUACGGGAGGCAGCAGUGGGGAAUAUUGGACAAUGGGCGCAAGCCUGAUCCAGCCAUGCCGCGUGAGUGACGAAGGCCUUAGGGUUGUAAAGCUCUUUUGGCGGGGACGAUAAUGACGGUACCCGCAGAAUAAGCCCCGGCUAACUUCGUGCCAGCCGCCGCCGUAAUAC
rnacentral:rRNA from 1 species